rnacentral:rRNA from 1 species
GCCUUUCCUUGUCCAAAUCCUCUUAAAAAAAUACAGAAAGAAUAUCGCUAGCGACUUUCAGUCAGUUACGGGACCGAAGUUACUUACUUCUGGCUACCCGAUGCUUCACCUCUACUACAGCAGCACAGUAACGAGUCCGAGGCCGCGGUAGGCGGGUUCAGGCGGUGGGCGGCUAGGUGGCCCGAGGCGGCGGUAGGCGGGUCCAGGCGGCGGGUGGCUAGGUGGCCCAAGGCCGCGGUGGGCGGGUCCAGGCGGCGGACGGCUAGGUGGCCCGAGGCCGCGGUGGACGACUCGUACGGGGAGCGGAUGGGGUCCCGACGAAGUGGUGGCUUGCGGUGGUGAAGUGGUCCGUCGCGGCGGGUUGACGGUGGAUACUGGACGCGGGAGGGACGGUGGGGUGGGAGGGUGGCGAGGUAGGAACCCAAGGGAGUGGCUUGCGGGAGGGCUGCUGGUGAAGAGGUGGUCGCCGCGGUGGGGCGAGGAGUCUACGUGGAGGUGGUCGCUUACCGACGAAGCUAGUUGUAGCUGUCAAAGUGCCACCCGACAAGGCGCCGUCCUCCUAAGCGCCGCACGAACCACCAGAGUCACAGGCUACGGUAGCGCCCAACGGAGGUGAGGGGGUGGCAGCGACGAGUUGAGCCAGAAGCAGCCGUGGCGAGUUAAGUCGGAGACAACGGCGAGAGGCUAGGAGGACGAAGCUGGGGAGUGGCCUAGGCAGGAAGAGGAACGGUCGCUGUAGAAGGAGGGGUGCGGUGAAGGACAAGGGUAGACCAACUAAUAACUAAUAAUUGAAAGGCUAAAAGAGUGUCAAGACUGCUCUUCUUCAUUUCGACCCUCCUACGCCUCACUACACCACUCCUCGUUGUUAACGUCUCGUAAUCGUGACGCCGUUGUGUGAAGAUACCACCACAUCACGUCUGUGCCUGCUCCUUUUCUUGCGUAUAUGUUCGAGUAUAUAAACAAUAGAAGAAAGGACUUAGUACUAAGGACAAGGCCUUGAUGAAGGUACAUGUUAUAAAACCACAGGCUGGAACCAUAACCAAAAGGUAAAGGAAAGACUUGUGUACUCGAAACCAUACCUAGAACCCUCGUUCAGUAGGAGUCAAACGAAGGUCACCUCAUCACCGCCCCUUCACCCCCUUAUAAUCCAGGGUGGUGUGAUUCCUCGUGUACAGACAUCCCUUCCUCAAAUAGCUCCUAGACACUCGGUUAUUUAUUAUGCCUCUCUAAUCAAUGAUUUCUUUUACCAAGCUCCAGUUAUCAACUUUCGGACUUCGGUCUACAAGGAUGCUACUGCAUGUGUUGAGAACUCUUUGUUUUGGUUAUGUAAUAUACACGGACGUUCUAACUUCUAGCAUGUAUAUAAAUGAAACGAGGUCCUAGGAUAUCGUCACGUAAUGAGGUACGUCAAGGGAAAUAGUAGGUAAAAUAAUAAGUAUAGAGAUAUACCAACAAUAUAUAUCUAGGAUAAUGUCCCUACAUCGUGAUAUAAAAGGUCGGUAACAACAUUUGUUUUGUGGGAGACAUAACUAUGUAUACAAAAAAAAAGAAAAUCAAUAGAGAAAAGUCUCACCUGCUCCAAAGAUCUAGCUUCUUUAAUAAAAAUCUAGCGGGAAACCCAAAGUUUCUUAAGUCUUAUUCAAGGAUGUGCUCGACAAUAACCUAUUUAGUACAUGCUGUGGUACGAACGUGGGAAUAGGGACCUCAUAAACGUCAACAUAAGA